UUCUGGGAGUUCCAGAGAUUAGAAUUUAGCACUUUGACUGCUGUGGCCCAGGUUCAAUCCCUGGUCUGGGAA
rnacentral:tRNA from 1 species